UAAAGACUGGUGGCUCCUAACCACCCCUAGUGA
rnacentral:tRNA from 2 species